rnacentral:rRNA from 1 species
GCGCGAGCAGCAGCAGUACAGUGCAGCCGCCCAGGUCAACAACAGCGUAGCCAAUACUCGUACUAGUCGACAAGCAAUGCGUACCAGUAGCUCGCGCUCUACGGCAGGAGACAAAGGUCGGUGCGCGCCGUGGCCCACCGGCCCGGCCCGUGUGCGUGCGUGCGUGGUGCCUGGUAGACGUGGUGGACAGUACGCAGAAUGCGAGGAGGACCAAUCGUGCACUCGCAAAAGAAAAAGAGAGAAUUCCUUAUUUAACAUCGUGCUUAAAUUUUAUGCCCUAUUUAACAUCGGCAAAUAAUUUCUUUCCUAUGUAACAACGAGUCUAAAUUUUAUGUCCUUUAUAACACUUUCGUCCCAUUUAGACCUAAAUGACACCUAAAAAGACCAUUUUACCCCUUAUAUGAUAUGAUUGUGUGCGCACGCGCACUGCUGCGUCCGUGUGGGUGCGCUGCUGCGUGUUUGUGUGUGUGUGCGUGCUGUGUGUGUGUGCUGCUGCAUCCGUGUGUGUGCUGCUGCGUCCGUGUGUGCGUGUGUGUGUGUGCUGCUACAUAUGUGUGUGCUACGCGUGUGUGUGCUGGUGUGUGUGCUGCUGCAUAUGUGUGUACUAUUAUGCGCGUGUGUGUGCUCAAAGAAAAAAGGUCUAUCUCACGCCCUAGCAGCCAUUUACGAGCGCAUUCAAAGCCCGCCAAAUUAAUCACGACGCGACGGGGCUGAGUGCUGCGUUCCUGAAUCCUGAUGCUGGUCACUCACUCACUUACGGCUGGUGAUUUUGGCGAGAGUUUUGCUCCGGUAGGCAAUGGCGUGUGGUUGAUUUGCCACCGAGACUUUUGCGGCACAAGCUUAGGAACGUCGCGAUCUCUAGUAUAUACUGGAUGACAUCUCAUGCUGAAUUAGCGAGGCAUCAAAAACAAACCACGUGAUUUAGCAGGAAAAAAUUAGCAUUGGGUGCGUCAGCAAACAAACUACAGUAAUAAGCUACUGGAGCAAAAGUACAAGGAGCGCUGUGCUGUUUCUGGAUUUUUCCUUGACCCGAAGGCCGGAUUUCUUCCGCCCUCCUCCUCGUGCGCACAAUUUUUUUCAAACAAGCAAGAUGACCUCUCGUACCACGCCAGGACAAAGAAAAAGCAAUUUGUAGUAUUAUUAAGCAACUGACGAAUUCGAGAGUGAGAAACCUAUGUUAAGUUUUUCGAGGCCAAGAUGAUCUUUGCUACUGCCAUAAUCAACGGAGGAAACAGGUCGUGGCUAAAUUGCUACGAAAAAUGGAGCGGAAGAAAGAAACGGCAGCGGCGGAACCACGCGACUGAUUGAAAUCACAGACGAGGAGAGGAGAACUCACCAGAUUGUGACGAAGCGAGAGGACGAAGGAGGCGUGGAUUAUCUCUCGUCCGUGGGCAAAAAACACGAACCAAUCUUGCAACCCACACGCCCCUCCCUCUCCGCACGCCGCCGCCCCCUCGUUCUUCCUCCCUGGUUCCCUCGGCCUGUCUCGGAAUCAAACAAGGGGCAGGCAGGGGCCGGAGACCCGUGGUCGGCGCAGGCAGGCUCGUGCUCGUCCCCCACGACACCGACCUGCCGCCGUCUCGUCCGGGGCAGACGCCACGCGAUGGAGAGAGAGUCAGAGACACACACACACACAAACACGGGAGGGCGGCGCCGGCGGGGAGACGACGCGCUAUUGUGUCACUGAUGAUGGGGAGGAGGCGGCGAUGAGGGAAAAACUGGACUAGUAGCAGUAUUU